CUCAAUCUCAUGACCCUGGGAUCAUGACCUGAGAGAAAAUCAAGAGUCUGAUGCUCAACUGAGCCACCCAGGUGCCUCAAUGUGCAACAAAAUUAUAUACUACAACCAAAAAGGUUGUUUAUUCCAGGUAUGCAAGGCUGGUUUGUAUUUGAAGAUCAAUCAAUGCAACCCAUCAUAUUAACAGGCUAAAGAAGAAAAUCCACAUGAUCAUAUCAAUAGAUGCAGAAAAGGCAUUUGACAAAAAUUCAAUACCCAUUCAUGAAAACUUUCAAGAAAUAGAAAUGGAAACUUCUCAACCUGAUAAAGAGCACCUACAAAAGGAAUCCUACAAGCAACAUUAUACUUAAUGGUGAAAAACUAAAUGCUUUCUCCCUGAGAUUAGGAAAAAGGUAAGAAUGCUCACUCUUACCACUUUCAGCAUAGUACUAGAAAUCCUCGCCAGCACAAUAAGGCAGGAAAAAGAAAGAAAAGACAUACAGAUUGGAAAGAAAGAAAUAAAAUUGUCUUGAUUUGCAGACAACAUGAUUGUCUAUCAUGUAGACAAACCCAAGGAAUCAGUGGGGAGUGGGGAAAAAGCCCACAAAACCUCCAAAGGAAACAAAACAAAUCUCAGAACAAAUAAGUUCAGCACGGCAUCAGAUUACAAAAUGAACACACAUAAAAUUCUAUACACUAACAAGGAAGAUGUGGAAAUUGAAAUUAAAACCACAAUACUAUUUACAACAGCCCCUCAGAAAAUGAAAUACUUAUUUAUAUCUAAAUAUAAAUCUAACAAAGCAUGUACAGGAUCUGUAUGCUAAACGUGAUGAUGUAGAUGAAAGAAAUCAAAGAAGGUAAGUUUCCUUUAUUAUUCAUUUACUGAAACUCAACAUGGUGAAGAUGUUAGUUCUCUUCCAGUUGAUCUACAGGCUUAAUGAAAUUCCUGUCAAAAGCCUAGCAAGAGUUUUUAUAGAUUAGAGAAGCUUAUUUUAAAAUUUAUUUGUCGGGGCAAAGGACCUAGAACAGCUAAAACGGUCUAGAAAGGAGGAGUAACUUGGGAAGAAUCACUCCCAAGUUAAGUUUACUAUAUAGCUGCAGAAAUCAGGACAGUAUGGCACUGGCAGACAGACACACAGAUCAAUGGCAUAGAAUAGAGGACCCAGAAUUAGACCUAGACAUACGCCCAGCUGAUUUUUUUCAAAGUUGCAAAAGCAAUUCAAUGAAGAAAGGAUAGCUUUUGCAAAAAAUGGUGCCAGUACAACUGGGCAUACAUAGGCAAAAAAUAAAUAGAAUCAAAUAAGGUAAGAAAUAAAAAUGUGACUUAAUCUUCACAGAAUUAGCUAAAACUAGGACCAAGAUUUAAAUGUAAACCUAAAACCACAAAGCUUUUAGGUAGAACAUAGAAAAUCUUCAAGAUUUAGGAUGAAGUAAAGAUUCCUUAGAUUUGACACCAAUGGCACAAUCCCAAAAAAAGGAAAAAAUGAUAAACUGGACGUCACCAAAAUUAAAUAUUUUUGCGCUGUGAAGACUUUGUUUAAAAGACGAAAAGAUAAGGCGCACCUGGGUGGCUCAUUCGAUUAAGGGUACAACUUUGGCUCAGGUCAUGAUCUCGCGGUUUAUGGGUUUGAGCCCUGCGUCAGGCUCUGAGCUGACAGCUUGGAGCCUGGAGCCUGCUUCGGAUUCUGUGUCUCCCUCUCUCUCUGCCCCUCCCCUGCUUGCACUCUGUCUCUCUCUUUAUCUCUCGCUAAAAAAUAAAUAUUAAAAAAAAUUUUUUUAAAGAUGAAAAUAUAAGCCACAGAUCAGAGAAAAUAUUCAUAAAUCACCUAUCUGGCAAAGGGCUUCUCUCUAGAAUAUACAAAGAUCACUCAAAAUUCAACAGUAAAGUUCAAGAAACAAUGCAAUCAGAAAAUGGGCAAAAAAACAUGUUGAGACACUAUUGAAACACAAAGGACAAGCAAUGACAGAAGAAGGUGUUCAAUAUCAUUAGCCAUUAGGUAAAUGGAAGCUAAAUCCACAAAUAAUAAACUCACAUACCAUACAAUGCAGAAAUUGCACCCUUGGGCAUUUAUUCCAGAGAAAUGAAAACUUAUGCUCAUGUGGAAGCCUGCACACAAAUGGUCGUAUCAUUCAUAAUAGCUAAAACCUGGAAAGAACCCAGAUGUCCUCCAAUGGGUAGUACACACCUACCAUAGAACAUUACUCCAUAGUAAGGAGGAAUGAACUCUUGACAUGGGCAACAAGUUGGAUGAUCUCAAGGGAAUUAUACCCUGUGCAAGAAGCAAUUUCAAAAGAUUACAUACUGUACGAUUCCACUUAUGUAAUAUUCUUGAAAUGUUGUAAUUAUAGAGAUGGAAAACAGAUUAGUGAUUGCCAGGGUUAGUGCUUGUGGGGAGAGCGUAGGCAUGGCUACAAGAGGGCCACACGGUGGGUCAGCUCUGAAUCUUCAUUGGGGAGGUGGUUGUGCAAAGCUCCGUGGUACAACAUUGCCUAGAACAAUUGCCUAUAGAUACUCGCACAUGCACACACACACACACACACACACACACACGAGCACAUGUCUACUGGAGAAAUCUGGAUAAGCUCUGUGGAUUGUAGCAAUGUCCAUUUCAUGGUGCUGUUACCGUACUGUGGUUCCAUAAAUGCUAACAUUGGGGAAGGGGGGGGUAUAGGGUUCUCGAGACCUGUCUGUACAUUUUUUGUGUAACUUCUUGUGGAUCUAUAAUUAUUUCAAAAUGCAAAAGUAAAAUACUUAAAUCAGA